UACGGAGGGAGCUAGCGUUGUUCGGAAUUACUGGGCGUAAAGCGCGCGUAGGCGGCUUUGUAAGUUAGAGGUGAAAGCCCGGAGCUCAACUCCGGAACUGCCUUUAAAACUGCAUCGCUAGAAUCGUGGAGGGGUGAGUGGAAUUCCGAGUGUAGAGGUGAAAUUCGUAGAUAUUCGGAAGAACACCAGUGGCGAAGGCGACUCACUGGACACGUAUUGACGCUGAGGUGCGAAAGCGUGGGGAGCAAACAGG
rnacentral:rRNA from 1 species